UAGAGUUUGAUCCUGGCUCAGAUUGAACGCUGGCGGCAUGCUUUACACAUGCAAGUCGAACGGCAGCGGGGGCUUCGGCCUGCCGGCGAGUGGCGAACGGGUGAGUAAUGCAUCGGAACGUGCCCAUGUCGUGGGGGAUAACGUAGCGAAAGCUACGCUAAUACCGCAUACGUCCUGAGGGAGAAAGCGGGGGAUCUUCGGACCUCGCGCGAUUGGAGCGGCCGAUGUCGGAUUAGCUAGUUGGUGGGGUAAAGGCCCACCAAGGCGACGAUCCGUAGCGGGUCUGAGAGGAUGAUCCGCCACACUGGGACUGAGACACGGCCCAGACUCCUACGGGAGGCAGCAGUGGGGAAUUUUGGACAAUGGGCGCAAGCCUGAUCCAGCCAUGCCGCGUGAGUGAAGAAGGCCUUCGGGUUGUAAAGCUCUUUCGGCCGGGAAGAAAUCGUGUUCUCUAACAUAGGACAUGGAUGACGGUACCGGACUAAGAAGCACCGGCUAACUACGUGCCAGCAGCCGCGGUAAUACGUAGGGUGCGAGCGUUAAUCGGAAUUACUGGGCGUAAAGCGUGCGCAGGCGGUUUGCUAAGACG
rnacentral:rRNA from 1 species